rnacentral:rRNA from 1 species
GCCUGACCCAGCAACGCCGCGUGAAGGAAGAAGGCUUUCGGGUUGUAAACUUCUUUUAACAGGGACGAAAAUGACGGUACCUGUUGAAUAAGCCACGGCUAACUACGUGCCAGCAGCCGCGGUAAUACGUAGGUGGCAAGUGUUAUCCGGAUUUACUGGGUGUAAAGGGCGUGUAGGCGGGACUGCAAGUCAGAUGUGAAAACUAUGGGCUCAACCCAUAGCUGCAUUUGAAACUGUAGUUCUUGAGUGUCGGAGAGGCAAUCGGAAUUCCGUGUGUAGCGGUGAAAUGCGUAGAUAUACGGAGGAACACCAGUGGCGAAGGCGGAUUGCUGGACGAU